rnacentral:rRNA from 1 species
AUGCAUGUCCGCCGCAGCGGAAGGGCCAAUAAAUACGACGCCUUCCGUGUAUUAUGCAGCGCCAACGCGGUUUUGCGACGCGUCUGCUGGAGCCUGCUAGAGGAAACACGGCCGACCCAGCAGCAGCUUUGCAGGCUUUUUUGCGGGACGGCGCAGCGGCCUAGCGGAAUAUCCAAGUAUGACUCUCGCGACCGCGGUCGUCCCCGCGUGAGCGCGCGGCCGCCGCCGGCCGGAUCUCCAUGCUCCGGCCACCCCUGCGUCUGCCGCUCCCAGAUCCGGCCUCCACGUCGUCUGCUCCCCCCUUCCCUCCUGCUAGGAAUCAGGUGUGGGAGCUGCGCCCCGGCGACCCCGCGCCGUCACUCCCGUCUUCACCGGCAGCUCCCCGUCGGCCACCCCCAACGCUGCUCCACGCCCCAGCGAGCGCGCUGUCGCCGCCUCCCGCUGAGAUGUCUGCUGGCUCCGCGCCGCGCGUCGUCCCGCAGCCAGCGCCGUCUGUUGCUCGAUCCCAUCUGGAUCGGGGCCCCGCCGGCGCUGAGCCGCUCCGUCCAUGCUGUUGGCGGGUCAGGGAAGGUGCCGGUGGUGUCUCCGAGCAAGUUGGUUGCGCCUGUGCGUGCGCCCGCGCGACUGCCCGUGCAAGCCUCUGCUGCGUCGAUCUUGGAGGGCCCGGAGGGGAUGUGCUCCCCCGUCGCGCCACCGCAUCUCGGCUCGGGUCGGCCAGAGCCCGAGUCAUGGACCUCUCUGGCCGCUGACGGCGACGAUGACGAUGAAGAGGAGCCGACCCCUAUGACACCGCCUGCUGCCAAGGCCUCGGCCCCAGUCGCUGCUCUGCCGGACGUGGUGGUGAAGGCGAGCGAGGUAUGGCAGGAGGUGUUGCCCCGGCAUGAUCCGCGUCGCCCGACGUCGCUAGCCCCUGCAAUGGCUCCGCGUCCAAUCCCUGCUUGGCUGCACGGUAGAUGUUGCAGAUGCUUCGCUCCUGGGCAUCGUGCGGCCGCUUGCAGAGAUCCGCUUCGGUGCUCCCGUUGCUUGGAGAAUUGUCACCGUGCACGCGGAUGCCGCAAUCCUUGGCGUCCUUUAAGUUCUUUGGCAUGCCUUGCCAUGCCGCCAGUCCUCGGUUCCAUGCGCCAUCUUGCUCUAGCUUCAUGUAAGGGUGCAAUGAAAGCCGUGCUCCCUUCCAAGGCGAUUCACCACGGGUCUUGGGCGUCUGUCGUCUCUGCUACCGUUGGCUCAGCAACCCCACCCGAUAUUGAUGUUGCGGUCCUUUUUGGCCGAUCAGACAACAUUGUUGCAGAGUUGUCUGGCACGGGUUCAGAGUUUUCUCGAGCGGGCGGAGGCUGCUCUUAG